CUCAUUCUCACAAAGGAAGGCAAUGGUUCGAAGCUCUCAUCAGAAAUUGCCCUCAUUUUCAUCAGAGGUGAAAUCCCUUCUUCUUCUUCUCUUAAACCAUUUCAGAGCUUUCCAUUUCUGGUUUUUGGUAAUGGAAUUUUUUUUUCUUCUUAAAAGUGCGAUUUUCAUUUACAGAGUUGACCUUGUUUUCGUAAACCAUUGCUUGUGUUGCAGCUGGUUUAGUAGUUUUUUCCACUCCAAAAGCUUUGAUGAAGCUCCAUUUUCAUCUCGGUUAAGGUUUGAUAUUCUAGAUAUUUACAUCAAUGGACCAAAAGAGAAGCUAAACUCAACUGUUAUAAGCCAGUUUCCAUUUGCAGGUUAAGUGCUGAUAGAUCACACGGCAGACAAAAGCUCCUCAAGCUGCAGAGACCAUCCAUACUGAUUUGAGAGAGGGUUCAUCUUUGUUGAGAAUGCAAAAUGACUAGAAGUUAAAAAAGGAAGAUUCAAAACUAGCUAAAGUUUGAGCAAGGAAACACAAUCUGACUCUUGUACUGAAUCUUACAAUCGAAAAUCGCCUCCCAGUGUUAAGAAGUGUUAUGCAUUCCUAGAUUUCCUGUGAGUAUAUUUUAAAUCACAAAGAUCGCAUCACACAUUCUUGACAGCCACUUGUUGCCCUUUUAAAUAAGCUGGUUGUUUUGCAGGAGUAAAAAUUAUGACGAAUAUAAACGGUUGCAUCCUGAACUCAAAGUUGAUGAAAUUCGUACUAAGUUGGGAAGAAUCUUUGAAGCCCUUCCCCCUGAGGAGAAGGCCGAAUAUGGGAUGGUUAUCAAAAAGGAAAAAGCCAAAAGAUGACGAGACGCUCCACUGCAAGUGCAAUCCUAAAAGGGUUAUGGCUUUAGGAAGAAUAUUGAGUGCUGAGCAAAAGAAGGCAGUGAGGAAUAUUGGAUUUGGUGCAAUGUUGGAUUUGAAGAUGGACUGUGGAUGAGCAAGUUAACUAGGUGGUUAGUUGAUUAGAUUGACGAUGGUGGGAGGGUACUUACUGUGGGUACCACGAUCAUAGAGUUGAAGGUGUAUCUUUUUUAGCAUGUUAUGGGGAUUAGGGAUGGCGAUACCCCUAUCAAACUGCCUGAGAAGAAUCACUACAACCCUUACCAUGAUUUGAUUUUUAACAUGCAUAAGAAAGCCACUGCCAUCAAUGACUUGGAAAAAGUAAUUGAACAGAGAAAGACAGCAGGCGAGCUUUUUCUCAUGCGUUACGUAUUGUUCGUAAUUGUGGUCACUCUUUGUCCAACGUCGGGAAAUAUCGUGUUAAGAAAGCUUAACUAUCCAUUUUCUUCAAUGUGGAGUCUAUUAAGAAUUUCAAUUGGGCGAUACACACCCUCAAAUAGUCUAGCUGAAGAAGUUCUAUACGAAUCUCGAUUUAUUUCAGAAAUGGAUAAACCACUCAUAUUGUCUAGUGACAGUAAUGAGGCAAUAGAAAAUUCGAAAUAAACUCGAAACUACAAAAGAGUAAAACAUAUAGAGAGAAAGUACCACAUUAUGGAGGAUGUGUGGCGAAGGCGUGAAGUGAAGGUGAUGAAGAUAGCAUUGGAAGGAAAUCUUUCAUAUCCCUUUACAAAGAUAUAAGCAGAGAGCAUAAUUGUGAAGCAUGUAGAAUGCAUGGUUUUGAGAAACAUGUCCCAUUUGUUUUUAAAAGGGCAAGUGGGAGUUUGUUGGAUUUUAUGCCCUUAUAAAACCAUGUCGAACAUGUAGCACGAUUUCAUAGUAUCAAUAAAAGUAGUAGAAAUCAUUUAGUUUGGCAA